UACGUAGGGUGCAAGCGUUGUCCGGAAUUAUUGGGCGUAAAGAGCUCGUAGGCGGUUUGUCGCGUCUGCUGUGAAAACUGGAGGCUCAACCUCCAGCCUGCAGUGGGUACGGGCAAACUAGAGUGCGGUAGGGGAGAUUGGAAUUCCUGGUGUAGCGGUGGAAUGCGCAGAUAUCAGGAGGAACACCGAUGGCGAAGGCAGGUCUCUGGGAAGUAACUGACGCUGAGAAGCGAAAGCAUGGGUAGCAAACAGG
rnacentral:rRNA from 1 species